GACGAACGCUGGCGGCGCGCCUAACACAUGCCAGUCGAACGAGCGAGCGAGAGCUUGCUUUCUCGAGCGAGUGGCGAACGGGUGAGUAACGCGUGAGGAACCUGCCUCAAAGAGGGGGACAACAGUUGGAAACGACUGCUAAUACCGCAUAAGCCCACGACCCGGCAUCGGGUAGAGGGAAAAGGAGCAAUCCGCUUUGAGAUGGCCUCGCGUCCGAUUAGCUAGUUGGUGAGGUAACGGCCCACCAAGGCGACGAUCGGUAGCCGGACUGAGAGGUUGAACGGCCACAUUGGGACUGAGACACGGCCCAGACUCCUACGGGAGGCAGCAGUGGGGAAUAUUGCACAAUGGGGGAAACCCUGAUGCAGCGACGCCGCGUGGAGGAAGAAGGUCUUCGGAUUGUAAACUCCUGUUGUUGAGGAAGAUAAUGACGGUACUCAACAAGGAAGUGACGGCUAACUACGUG
rnacentral:rRNA from 1 species